rnacentral:lncRNA from 1 species
GCCGCACGUCGGGGGCGCGCGCGCCGGUUCCUCGGCGAAGGGAAGGAAGGAGGGCGCCCGGGACGCUGUCGUCCGUUCCGGAUCCUGCUCUGGGGGGCACCGGGGACAGGGCGGGGUGGCCUCGCUCCUGUUUUAAACUUGUGGAGUGAAGGAGUCUCGAGUUGGGAGACAGAAGCUUAUCUCUGGAUGCGGAUAAACAAACGUCGCCUGCGGCACUUGAUCCACAACUUGAGGUCGCCCGAGAAAAUUACGGAUUUCCCCAGAAACCGAGUUUCAUAUCCCAAGUCCUGGGAUAUGAAACGGACCUCGGCCAGUGGGAGGUUUUGGUCACAAAAGGGGUGCCUAAAACAGUGCCUGCCACAGGAGAGGAGCCCCUGACUGGUGACAUAAAGGAAUAACUGAAUGAGUGAAGUCAUCCGGGCUUCAGAUGAGCAUGCGCAAAGCUGGAAAGCAGUGAUGGUUUUCCAUAGCAGCAUCCUAAGAGGGUACCCUUUCUUGGCUGAGAACUCCAGCAGACACAGACUAGUAGGAACUGGAAAGGUGACACCAUGUGACAUCUUUUAAAGGAAUGUAAUUCACAGCUGCCACAGGCAGACUCAGCAGGAGCACAACUAAAAACUGCCUCUAGAAGCCUUGUGUGAUCUACCAGUUAGAAUAAUGGUUUAGUUACUGUAACAGACACCAAAUAACAAUGGCUUAAACAAGAAGAGUUAUUUUCCUCUUAUAUAAAAGUCUGGCUGGCAGGCACACUGGGAAAGUUGGGUUGCUCUGCUUCAGGUGAUGGUCCUGAGACCUUGAUUCCUUCUGUUUUGGAUUUUUGUUGUUGUUAUUAUUGUUUUGCCAUCUUCCAGAGUGUUGCCCUCAUCCACAUGAUUGAGCUGGAUGUCUACUACUAUGUCUACAUUCAAGCCUCAGAAAGAAGAAAAAGUGGAAGGGGAGUCCAUGUAAUUUUAGGGAUGUUACCCGGAAGUGGCAUUUAUCACUUAGGCUCACACCCCAUUGAUAGGAACUUGGUUGUAUGACCAUACCCAACUACAAGGGAGGCUAGGAGAUGUAGUCUCUAGAAGGACAGCCAUAUGCCUCCUUAAAAACUGGGGAUUACUGGAGUGCCUGGCUGGCUCAGUUGGUAGAACACGUGGCUCUUGAUCUUGGGGUCAUUAAGUUUGAGCUCCAUGUUGGGGGUAGAAUUGACCUGAAAAAAAUCAGCCUCAUUCCAGAUCUCUGUCCUCUGUAUCACCCACAGCAACUAUACCCAAAAGAUAAUAAAUCUUUAAAACAAAUGCA